rnacentral:lncRNA from 1 species
UGUUUGGUGAAUUGCUCCCUGCGAAUGGUACUGGUGUUCCCUCUUACGAGAGCGGAAUCACCAUAGAAUAUAGAGGUUAUAGUGGCAAAGUACGGUUGUGGUCAUUAGAUUUCAACUCUUUACUAUAUUGCGAACUGAAUUGUUUCCCAUUCACAAUGGUAAUCGGGGAUUCCUUUUGCCCUUUGUUGAUAUAAAUUAAAAUGGUUUCAUGCAAAGAUUGGUAAAAUAUGUAAUUGAAUCAAAUUGUUUGACUGAAUAGUUAGGACUAUUGAUUUGAACUUCCAUACCUACAUUAUUAUUGAAUUGAAUAUAUUUCUCAUUGUUUCGUUAUGUCAUGCCAUGCUAUUAUUGGUUCUAUUAGUUUCUACUAUGUUUCUCACUGUUUUGUUUCAUCGCUUGUGUCUGAAAUUGGUAUUCAAGAUGUACUUUGAUUAAU